rnacentral:lncRNA from 1 species
CUCCGCUUCGCAGGGUUCAAGCUAUUCUCGUGCCUCAGCCUCCCUAGCAGCUGAAGAUAACGUAAUGGUAACUAGAGCCUGAGAUUAAUGACGACCUUUUCAUUCUGUUCAGAACGCCACUUUUAAAAGUUGUUAAUAGAGGGAGGUAAAUGUGUCAGCUGCAUUAAUAAGAGAGGUGUGGUGUUUGUUUUCCUUCUUAGUAUAUAAGAGCCAGAUAAUCAAAAUACACAUACAAAAAUGCCACUGACAGUAAGGGUCCAAAAGAGGUAAUGCUUUCAUUAGUACUU